rnacentral:lncRNA from 1 species
AAAAAACACUUUUACUUUUAUCUUAAUAUUGGGCUUGGUUCUUAGGGUAUGAGUAGAGGGCUCACCCUUAAACUUAAGUAUUUCCUCGUUGCUACCCUCAGUUCUAUUUGUGGGUUUCUGUAAGUUUCAGCUAUGUCAAGAUGGCAUGAAUGCCUGUGUGUUUGGCACUCUAAUAGUUACCUCCCACUUCUGAUUCUGUCUCUUCUAGGGACUCCUGGUGGCUUUCAGGGUUCAGAGUACUGUGAAUUACCUUGUCCUGGCCCUCAGGGCCUCAUCUCAAACCCAGACUUGACCUGGAACAAAGAAAGUGAGCUCUCAGAGCAAUUUCAAAAGCAGAGAAAUCUUGAGGAGUUUGAUACUUCUAAUCCUCCAGUCAUUGAUUGCCUUGUGAGUGUAGAGUUGUAAAGUGGUGGGAAUAAAAGUCAGCCACUUCCUGGUCCUUGAUAUUCU